rnacentral:rRNA from 1 species
GCUCGUGGAUCGAUGAAGACCGCAGCUAAAUGCGCGUCAGAAUGUGAACUGCAGGACACAUGAACACCGACAAGUUGAACGCAUAUUGCACCUCGUACAACAGUACGAGGUACACAUUUUUGAGUGCCUAUAUUUAUCUAUUCAACUAUACGUGUGUGCGCGUUUCACUUCGGGUGGACAGGCGCACGGCCCAUAAGCACGUAUGCGUAGUGAUGUUUUCCCGCCUUCGGUGGCGGUAAAACAUUGAAGAUAGUCAGGCGCGUCCCCGGCCGAUCGGCCCGGCGAGACGUGGUUGAUGAAUACAUCCCAUAGGCCAGCCCCCAUUUGGCUAUGUUGUAUUCCAUCAGCAAAGAGCGGCAUGUCCCAUGCAUGCCAAUCGACCAACCAACCAUCUAGUAGGCCUCAAAUAAUGUGUGACUACCCCCUAAAUUUAAGCA